rnacentral:lncRNA from 1 species
AAUAUUGUGAAGACUCUUUAUGCUACUACUAAUUGUUAAUACUUUGAUAUUAAAAGGAGAAUAACUAUGAUAAAAGAUAUAUUUUUUUUCAUAAUGACCGCACUGAAACAAUUAUGUUGAAUCAUAGACUUAAAUUUGUUUAUUCUCAUAUCUCUAAAAAAAAAUACUAAUAUUUUUCGUAUAUUUCUUUUGUAUGUCAAACCAUGGGAAGCAAA